UUCCCGGGCCUUGUACACACCGCCCGUCACACCAUGGGAGUGGGUUGCAAAAGAAGUAGGUAGCUUAACCUUCGGGAGGGCGCUUACCACUUUGUGAUUCAUGACUGGGGUGAAGUCGUAACAAGGUAACCGUAGGGGAACCUGCGGUUGGAUCACCUCCUUACCUUAAAGAAGCGUUCUUUGUAGUGCUCACACAGAUUGUCUGAUGAAAAUGAGCAGUAAAACCUCUACAGGCUUGUAGCUCAGGUGGUUAGAGCGCACCCCUGAUAAGGGUGAGGUCGGUGGUUCAAGUCCACUCAGGCCUACCAAAUUUGUACGGCAAAUUUGAAGAGGUUUUAACUACAUGUUAUGGGGCUAUAGCUCAGCUGGGAGAGCGCCUGCUUUGCACGCAGGAGGUCUGCGGUUCGAUCCCGCAUAGCUCCACCAUCUCUGUAGUGAUUAAAUAAAAAAUACUUCAGAGUGUACCUGCAAAGGUUCACUGCGAAGUUUUGCUCUUUAAAAAUCUGGAUCAAGCUGAAAAUUGAAACACUGAACAACGAAAGUUGUUCGUGAGUCUCUCAAAUUUUCGCAACACGAUGAUGAGUCGGAAGAAACAUCUUCGGGUUGUGAGGUUAAGCNGAAGAACCUUACCUGGUCUUGACAUCCACGGAAGUUUUCAGAGAUGAGAAUGUGCCUUCGGGAACCGUGAGACAGGUGCUGCAUGGCUGUCGUCAGCUCGUGUUGUGAAAUGUUGGGUUAAGUCCCGCAACGAGCGCAACCCUUAUCCUUUGUUGCCAGCGGUCCGGCCGGGAACUCAAAGGAGACUGCCAGUGAUAAACUGGAGGAAGGUGGGGAUGACGUCAAGUCAUCAUGGCCCUUACGACCAGGGCUACACACGUGCUACAAUGGCGCAUACAAAGAGAAGCGAACUCGCGAGAGCAAGCGGACCUCAUAAAGUGCGUCGUAGUCCGGAUUGGAGUCUGCAACUCGACUCCAUGAAGUCGGAAUCGCUAGUAAUCGUGGAUCAGAAUGCCACGGUGAAUACGUUCCCGGGCCUUGUACACACCGCCCGUCACACCAUGGGAGUGGGUUGCAAAAGAAGUAGGUAGCUUAACCUUCGGGAGGGCGCUUACCACUUUGUGAUUCAUGACUGGGGUGAAGUCGUAACAAGGUAACCGUAGGGGAACCUGCGGUUG
rnacentral:rRNA from 1 species